rnacentral:rRNA from 1 species
GUGGGGAAUAUUGGACAAUGGGCGCAAGCCUGAUCCAGCCACGCCGCGUGUGUGAAGAAGGCCUUUUGGUUGUAAAGCACUUUAAGCGAGGAGGAGGCUCCUUUAGUUAAUACCUAAAGAGAGUGGACGUUACUCGCAGAAUAAGCACCGGCUAACUCUGUGCCAGCAGCCGCGGUAAUACAGAGGGUGCGAGCGUUAAUCGGAUUUACUGGGCGUAAAGCGUGCGUAGGCGGCUUUUUAAGUCGGAUGUGAAAUCCCUGAGCUUAACUUAGGAAUUGCAUUCGAUACUGGAAAGCUAGAGUAUGGGAGAGGAUGGUAGAAUUCCAGGUGUAGCGGUGAAAUGCGUAGAGAUCUGGAGGAAUACCGAUGGCGAAGGCAGCCAUCUGGCCUAAUACUGACGCUGAGGUACGAAAGCAUGGGGAGCAAACAGGAUUAGAUACCCCGGUAGUCC